rnacentral:rRNA from 1 species
GACGAACGCUGGCGGCGUGCCUAAUACAUGCAAGUAGAACGCACAGUUUAUACCGUAGCUUGCUACACCAUAGACUGUGAGUUGCGAACGGGUGAGUAACGCGUAGGUAACCUGCCUGGUAGCGGGGGAUAACUAUUGGAAACGAUAGCUAAUACCGCAUAAUAUUGAUUAUUGCAUGAUGAUUGAUUGAAAGAUGCUAUUGCAUCACUACCAGAUGGACCUGCGUUGUAUUAGCUAGUAGGUGAGGUAACGGCUCACCUAGGCGACGAUACAUAGCCGACCUGAGAGGGUGAUCGGCCACACUGGGACUGAGACACGGCCCAGACUCCUACGGGAGGCAGCAGUAGGGAAUCUUCGGCAAUGGACGAAAGUCUGACCGAGCAACGCCGCGUGAGUGAAGAAGGUUUUCGGAUCGUAAAGCUCUGUUGUAAGAGAAGAACGGGUGUGAGAGUGGAAAGUUCACACUGUGACGGUAUCUUACCAGAAAGAGACGGCUAACUACGUG